GAAAACAAAAGGAAACCGGCGGAGAGAAAAGAGGAAACGAGGUGGAGGCGCAUGGGGAAGGGGGAGGGAGGGAGGGAAGGAGGAGGCGGCGGCUUAGGGGCGGAGAGGGCGGGCUGGAGGGAUGGCCGAGAGGGCGGGGAUAGGGGAGAGGAGCAGCUACCAAAAGCGACGGGAGAAGGCUGGAGAUGGAACACGUUGCGCUGAAGUUUGGCGCUGACUCGAGAGAGAGGGGAGACAGAGGACUAGGAGAGAGGAAGGGACAAGCAGCGAUCACUCCUCAGUGACCCGCCCCUCCAGCCAAGCGCCCCAGGACUGGCCCGUCAUUCAUGCCCCCACCCUUCCCAGACCAGACUCUAUUACGAAGGCGGGGCCGCGAUGUAGGAGGCACCACGGCUGGACACCUCCCUCCAGCGCGCGCCUUAUGGUCCUUCCCCUCCCUUCUCCAGCCUCCUUACCUCCGACUUCUCACCUGAGCACUGCGGAGGAGGGAGAAGGGAGGAAGAAGGAGGAAAGAGGGAGGGUUAGGGGCGACUGGGGAGGUGGUUCCUGUAGCUCCGGCUCACUUGGUACGCGCCUGCCCCGCCCCUGCCCCGCCCCCGUCCCCAGCCUCUGCACUGAGCCUCUGCAGCAGGCAGGAAGUCCUGAACAGCCCGGCCUCGGGAACUGGGCGAGGGGUGGGUUCCUUGAGCCUAGAAAGCGAGGAACACCCAGCUGGAGCUCUCUGGAGCGUAGACCAUCCUCCUCAGGUUCAAGUUUCUUCUCAGGGAAGAAGAAGGACUUCUUUCUAGACUGCAUGACAUUGAGUCACAUACUGGUAUGAAUGAAAAUGGCUCUCAGGAUAAGGAGACAAGCUCACAUGAAUAUUAAAAUUAAAGUCAUGUUGACACUGAAUUUUGGGGAGGAAUAUGAAAGAGCUCUGCCUGAGGUCAGCUUGAAGAGAACUUUAAAGCUAGAAGCCACCUCAGAGGUCAGCUAGUCCUAGACUCUCAUUUUACAGAAGGGGAAACUGAAGCUUUAAGAGGGGAAGGGGCUUUGUUAUAGUCACACAAGUAGUACCAGAACUGGUCCUCUGUCUCCAAAUACAGGGAUAUUUCUCCUUUACUACAUUGCUUCUUCACAUAUUUGUCUUUGGUCUUGCUCUAUGACCCUUCUCUUCUCCCAUCCCCAUACAUUUUUUUUAAAAUCAUACAGCCCUGUUCUAUUAAAAAAUCAUGAGUGGUCAUGUAUGAGUCCCCUGUGUUGAAGGGGAUCACAUGCAUCAAACAGUUCAAUCCUCAGGUUGUCAAAGAGACUGCUCCUUGGGGGCAGCUAGGUGGUGCAGUAGAUAGAGUACCAGCCCUGGAGUCAGGAGAACCUGAGUUCAAAUGUGACGUCAGACACUUGAUACUUACUGGCUUUGUGACUAUGGGCAAAAUACUUAACUCCAUUUGCCACACACACACACACACACACACACACACACACACACACGCACACGAUAAGCUUCUUGCCAGAAGACUCAUUUUUUUAUACCUUGCACCUGUGCUAAGUACACUUGUGCAGAAUCUCAAAAAUUGGAUACUGAGGUCUUUUUUAGUCCCAUGUGUAGAAGAUCAGCUGAAAUAUCUUGAUUGAUGAGAGAUUGAGCCCAAACCUCCUUAGCCCACCACAUCUAGUGAGCUCCAGACCAGGCUUUACAUCCUAUCCAGCUGUCUGCCUAGGCCAUCUUGCCACAUGUCCUGCUGCAGCCCUGGUUCUGAAAUGGCAUCCUCUGGAAGAAGUUAUCAAAUCCAGCCAUCAUUUUCUAGGUAAGGAAACUGCGAUUUUGAGAAAAAUUAAGU
ensembl:lncRNA